rnacentral:ncRNA from 1 species
AAAGACUUAGUCCUAACCUUAUAGUUAAUUCUAGCUAGAUAUACACAUGCAAGUAUCCGCACCCCAGUGUGAAUGCCCCAAUCUCUUCUCAACCCAAGACAAAGGCGCGGACAUCAGGCACGCUUUAGCAGCCCAAGACGUCUUGCUUAGCCACACCCCCACGGGUACUCAGCAGUGAUUAACAUUAAGCAAUAAGUGAAAGCUUGACUUAGUUAUAGCUUUAUAGAGCCGGUAAAUCUUGUGCCAGCCACCGCGGUCAUACAAGAGGCUCAAAUUAACUAUUACACGGCGUAAAGAGUGGUAUAACAUUAUCUAAAUAACUAGGAUCAAAUUGUAACUGAGCUGUCAUAAGCUAAAGAUGCACUUAAGACCACCUCUCAAGAUGAUCUUAGGACACCAUGAUCUAUUAUCUGCCACGAAAGCUAGGGCCCAAACUGGGAUUAGAUACCCCACUAUGCCUAGCCCUAAAUCCUAAUGCGCUACACUCACCAAGCCAUUCGCCUGGGAACUACGAGCACAAACGCUUAAAACCCUAAGGACUUGGCGGUGUUCCAAACCCACCUAGAGGAGCCUGUUCUAUAAUCGAUAACCCACGAUGCACCCAACCUCCCCUUGUCAUAUCAGCCUACAUACCGCCGUCUCCAGCUCGCCCUUUACUGAGGGCCUAACAGCGAGCAUAAUAGCCCCACCCCCGCUAAAAAGACAGGUCAAGGUAUAGCUAAUGGGGUGGAAGAAAUGGGCUACAUUUUCUAAAAUAGAAUACCCUUUAACGGAAAGAGAUGUGAAAUUCACCUCUGGAAGGCGGAUUUAGCAGUAAAAAGAGACUAUAAAGCUCUAUUUAAGCUGGCCCUGGGACACGUACAUACCGCCCGUCACCCUCCUCACAGGCUAACAAAUAAUUAUAGUUAAUAUAUCCAAAUAAGCCAAAGACGAGGUAAGUCGUAACAAGGUAAGUGUA